GAUGAAGAACGCAGCGAAAUGCGAUAAGUAAUGUGAAUUGCAGAAUUCUGUGAAUCAUCGAAUCUUUGAACGCACAUUGCGCCCCCUGGUAUUCCGGGGGGCAUGCCUGUUCGAGCGUCAUUUCACCACUCAAGCCUCGCUUGGUAUUGGGCAACGCGGUCCGCCGCGUGCCUCAAAUCGACCGGCUGGGUCUUCUGUCCCCUAAGCGUUGUGGAAACUAUUCGCUAAAGGGUGUUCGGGAGGCUACGCCGUAAAACAACCCCAUUUCUAAGGUUGACCUCGGAUCAGGUAGGGAUACCCGCUGAACUUAAGCAUAUCAAUAAGCGGAGGA
rnacentral:misc_RNA from 1 species